UAACGUCCCUUUGGUUUCAGGGAAGCAGGCUUUUGAUGAUUUUUCAUUGUGUCAUAAUCAAUAUAAUAAGGGAUAAAGCUCCCUAGAAAAAUAUUUGGACUCUUUGUGCCCAUGAUAUUCGUGUAAGAUUUAAUUUCAAAGACGGUUGGCUUCCGUGUCAAGAGGAUCAGUGCUCGCUUAUGUUGAUCACCCUGUAUUAUUAUAAUACGUUAGAAUGCGGUGACGACGAUUUACACGUCAUUUGACGCGCGUUAUUAUAGUA